rnacentral:rRNA from 1 species
UACGGGGGGGGCAAGCGUUGUUCGGAAUUACUGGGCGUAAAGCGCAUGUAGGCGGCCUAGCAGGUCGGAUGUGAAAUCCCUCGGCUCAACCAAGGAAGUGCAUUCGAAACCGCAAGGCUGGAGUCCCGGAGAGGAUGGUGGAAUUCUCGGUGUAGAGGUGAAAUCCGUUGAUCUAUAGAGGAACACCAAAUGGCGAAGGCAAUCAACCAUUCUGUUCCUGACAUUGAGGCAUGAAAGCGUGGGUAGCAAACCGG